rnacentral:lncRNA from 1 species
CAAAACAGGUAGAUUAGUCUUCGUAAACAGGUAGACCAUUUUGUCUCAUAAAAAAUUAGACCCUUACACGUAAAUAAGCAGACCAGGUUUCGUAAACAGGUAGACCUCUUAAGAAUUCUUCAAGUGUCUAUGAAUUUUGCACACUUUAGAGUUGGUCUACUCGUAGUGAGAGUCAGUGAUUAGAAAACCUAGUACACCAUGUUCAUAAAUCAGGUAGGUUGUUGUUCGUAAACCGGUAGACCAUUUUGUCUUACAAAAAAAGUAGAGCCUUACUCAUAAAUAAGUAGACCGGGCUUCGUACACAGGUAGACCUCUCAAGAAUUCUUCAAGUGUCUAUGAAUUAUGCACACUUUAGAGUUGGUCUACUCGUAGUGAGAGUCAAUGAUUAGAAAACCUAGUACACCUUGUUCAAAAAACAGGUAGGUUGUUCGUAAACCGGUAGACCAUUUUGUCUCACAAAAAAAGUAGAGCCUUACUCGUAAAUAAGCAAACCAGGCUUCGUAAACAGGUAGACCUCACAAGAAUUCUUCAAGUGUCUAUGAAUUCUCCACAGUUUAGAGUUGGUCUACUCGUUGUGAGUGUCAAUGAUUAGAAAACCAGGUACACCAUGUUCACAAAACAGGUAAGUUGUUGUUCGUAAACAGGUAGACCAUUUUGUCUCACAAAAAAAGUAGAGCUUUACUCGUAAAGACGCAAACCAGGCUUCGUAAAAAGGUAGACCUCUCAAGAAUUCUUCAACUAUCUGUGAGUUCUACACACUUUAGAGUUGGUCUACUCGUAACUCGUAGUGAGAGUCAGUGAUUAGAAAACCUAGUGCACCAUGUUCACAAAACAGGUAGGUUGUUGUUCGUAAACCGGUAGACCAUUUUGUCUCCCAAAAAAAGUAGACCCUUACUCGUAAAUAAGCAGACCAGGCUUCGUAAACACGUAGACCUCUCAAGAAAUCUUCAGGUGCCUGUGAAUUCUGGAUGCUUUAGAGUUCGUCUACGCAUAGUAUAAGUCAAUGAUUCGAAAACCUUGUACACCAUGUUCACAAAACAGGUAGGUUAGUCUUCGUAAACAGGUAGACCAUUUUGUCUUACUAAAAAAGUAGAUACUUACUCGUAAAUAAGCAAACC